GUCUUCGUGGCUCAGUCGGUAGAGCGUUGGUCUCAUAUUACUUCAAUAUGACUCUGUCUCAAGGCAGAGACAUCCAAAGGUCGAGAGUUCGAGCCUCUCCGAGGACA